rnacentral:tRNA from 1 species
AAAGGGAGACCUAAUUCCGGUAGGAGACGAAAAAAAAGUAGUCCCUACCAAGAAUCAAUCCCAAAAGGUCGGAACGAGGUAUGAGGCUUUCAAACUAGGUUCUGGGUUCAUAAAAGACCUGAAUCAGGAACAAGGGCUAUUAGCUCAGGUGGUUAGAGCGCACCCCUGAUAAGGGUGAGGUCCCUGGUUCGAGUCCAGGAUGGCCCACCUGCACAGGUGGCAAAAACAAGAGAAGCGAGGAAUCAGCACCUUAUCUUACUUAUAUAGUAAGAGAGAAUGCUGGCUCUGAGUAAAGAGUCCAGAGGAACCUUGAAAACUGCAUAGAGCUAGGUGAAAAAGCCAAAAAAGAAGACCGCAAG